rnacentral:rRNA from 1 species
AUUGAACGCUGGCGGCAGGCCUAACACAUGCAAGUCGAGCGGAUGAAGGGAGCUUGCUCCUGGAUUCAGCGGCGGACGGGUGAGUAAUGCCUAGGAAUCUGCCUGGUAGUGGGGGAUAACGUCCGGAAACGGGCGCUAAUACCGCAUACGUCCUGAGGGAGAAAGUGGGUGAUCUUCGGACCUCACGCUAUCAGAUGAGCCUAGGUCGGAUUAGCUAGUUGGUGGGGUAAAGGCCUACCAAGGCGACGCUCCGUAACUGGACUGAGAGGAUGAGCAGUCACACUGGAACUGAGACACGGUCCAGACUCCUACGGGAGGCAGCAGUGGGGAAUAUUGGACAAUGGGCGAAAGCCUGAUCCAGCCAUGCCGCGUGUGUGAAGAAGGUCUUCGGAUUGUAAAGCACUUUAAGUUGGGAGGAAGGGCAGUAAGUUAAUACCUUGCUGUUUUGACGGUACCAACAGAAUAAGCACCGGCUAACUUCGUG